rnacentral:rRNA from 1 species
UUAGAGUUUGAUCCUGGCUCAGGACGAACGCUGGCGGCGUGCCUAAUACAUGCAAGUCGGGCGAGCGGAACCAACAGAUUUACUUCGGUAAUGACGUUGGGAAAGCGAGCGGCGGAUGGGUGAGUAACACGUGGGGAACCUGCCCCUAAGUCUGGGAUACCAUUUGGAAACAGGUGCUAAUACCGGAUAAUAAAGCAGAUCGCAUGAUCAGCUUUUGAAAGGCGGCGUAAGCUGUCGCUAAGGGAUGGCCCCGCGGUGCAUUAGCUAGUUGGUAAGGUAACGGCUUACCAAGGCGACGAUGCAUAGCCGAGUUGAGAGACUGAUCGGCCACGUUGGGACUGAGACACGGCCCAAACUCCUACGGGAGGCAGCAGUAGGGAAUCUUCCACAAUGGACGCAAGUCUGAUGGAGCAACGCCGCGUGAGUGAAGAAGGUUUUCGGAUCGUAAAGCUCUGUUGUUGGUGAAGAAGGAUAGAGGUAGUAACUGGCCUUUAUUUGACGGUAAUCAACCAGAAAGUCACGGCUAGCUACGUGCCAGCAGCCGCGGUAAUACGUAGGUGGCAAGCGUUGUCCGGAUUUAUUGGGCGUAAAGCGAGCGCAGGCGGAAAAAUAAGUCUAAUGUGAAAGCCCUCGGCUUAACCGAGGAACUGCAUCGGAAACUGUUUUUCUUGAGUGCAGAAGAGGAGAGUGGAACUCCAUGUGUAGCGGUGGAAUGCGUAGAUAUAUGGAAGAACACCAGUGGCGAAGGCGGCUCUCUGGUCUGCAACUGACGCUGAGGCUCGAAAGCAUGGGUAGCGAACAGGAUUAGAUACCCUGGUAGUCCAUGCCGUAAACGAUGAG